rnacentral:rRNA from 1 species
GACGAACGCUGGCGGCGUGCUUAACACAUGCAAGUCGAACGGAAAGGCCCUGCUUUUGUGGGGUGCUCGAGUGGCGAACGGGUGAGUAACACGUGAGUAACCUGCCCUUGACUUUGGGAUAACUUCAGGAAACUGGGGCUAAUACCGGAUAGGAGCUCCUGCUGCAUGGUGGGGGUUGGAAAGUUUCGGCGGUUGGGGAUGGACUCGCGGGUUAUCAGCUUGUUGGUGGGGUAGUGGCUUACCAAGGGUUUGACGGGUAGCCGGCCUGAGAGGGUGACCGGCCACAAUGGGACUGAGGUACGGCCCAGACUCCUACGGGAGGCAGCGGGGGGGAAUAUUGCGCAAUGGGCGGAAGCCUGAUGCAGCAGCGCCGCGUGCGGGAUGACGGCCUUCGGGUUGUGAACCACUUUCGCCUGUGACGAGGCGUGAGUGACGGUAAUGGGUAAAGAAGCACCGGCUAACUACGUG